AACGAACGCUGGCGGCAUGCCUAACACAUGCAAGUCGAACGAGACCUUCGGGUCUAGUGGCGCACGGGUGCGUAACGCGUGGGAACCUGCCCUUAGGUUCGGAAUAACUCCACGAAAGGGGUGCUAAUACCGGAUAAUGUCUUCGGACCAAAGAUUUAUCGCCUUUGGAUGGGCCCGCGUUGGAUUAGCUAGUUGGUAGGGUAAAAGACUACCAAGGCGACGAUCCAUAGCUGGUCUGAGAGGAUGAUCAGCCACACUGGGACUGAGACACGGCCCAGACUCCUACGGGAGGCAGCAGUGGGGAAUAUUGGACAAUGGGCGAAAGCCUGAUCCAGCAAUGCCGCGUGAGUGGUGAAGGCCUUAGGGUUGUAAAGCUCUUUUACCCGGGAUGAUAAUGACAGUACCGGGAGAAUAAGCUCCGGCUAACUCCGUG
rnacentral:rRNA from 1 species